CGUUCUUGCUUCCCUGCCUCUUAUUCCCCUCCCCCCCCUUCUCCUUCUGAAACCUCUCCUGCUGCUUCUUCUUCUCCUGUUGCUUCUUCUCCUCUUGAUUUGUC
rnacentral:ribozyme from 1 species